CGGCCUGCCCGGUCACGGCCGGACUGGACCACGUGCAUGGUGCGUGCUCCAGUCCGGCCGAGGCCUCGCUUUGCUCUUCGCCACAUUGUGAAGACUGGGCCGGCUAACGACGAUUUCUGUUUCCUACAAGCACAAUGGGCCCACGUGGUCGAAAGAAAGCAUAAAAAGAGAGCACUCGCUCUGCAUCACCUUUUUCCUGCACCGGUCGGCCUGCCUGGUCACGGCCGGACUGGACUACGCGCAUGGUACGUGCUCCGGUCCGGCCGUGGCCUGGCUUUUCACUUCACCACAUUGUGAAGUCUGGGCCGGCUAACGUUCAUUUCCGUUUCCUACGCGCAUAAGGGGACCACGUGGUCGAAAGAAAGCAUAAAAGGAGAGCACUCGCUCUGCAACACCCUUUUCCUGCACUGGUCGGCCUGCCUGGUCACGGCCGGACUGGACUACGUGCAUGGUGCGUGCUCCAGUCCGGCCGUGGCCGGGCUUUUCACUUCACCACAUUGUGAAGACUGGGCCGGCUAACGCUCAUUUCCGGUUCCUACGCGCACAAGCAUCUGAGCAAGGAACAUACCCGUAUGCUCUCCCCCUGGGGUGCACAUGGACACGCCGAUCACCGGGACCGUCUUUCACCGGCGUCCCCAUCCAAGUGAAGGCAGCUAGACCUCUCUUAAGCACCGAGAUUGCCCAAUGGGAGAACCCUGGCUCGCCGACUCUACGCCGCCUGAGGUUGCCUUCGAUGGUCUACAGUGGUCUUUGUCCAAGUGCUUCUGGCCAGCGAUCUCGACUUCCUACAAUGGAAGAAACUUUUUUUUUUGAGGUCUGCGAAGCGAUAACUGCGAGCUACACUAGUGUGGACUUCAUAUUUCUCCAGGGGGACGAAGAUUGCAAGCGACUUUACAUUUCAAGA